CAAGUCAGAUGUGAAAGCCUUCUGUUCAACGGAAGAAUUGCAUCUGAAACUGCUAAUCUUGAGUAUAGGAGGGGAGAAUGGAACUUCUGGUGGAGCGGUGAAAUGCGUAGAUAUCAGAAGGAACGCCGGCGGCGAAAGCGAUUCUCUGGCCUAUUACUGACACUCAGUGUGCGAAAGCUAGGGGAGCAAACGGGAUUAGAUACCCCGGUAGUCCUAGCCGUAAACGAUGGGCACUAAGUAGAGGGGAUUACCUAUAUCCUCUCUGCCGUAGCUAACGCAUUAAGUGCCCCGCCUGGGGAGUACGGCCGCAAGGCUAAAACUCAAAAGAAUUGACGGGGGCUCGCACAAGCGGUGGAGCAUGUGGCUUAAUUCGAUGCAACGCGAAAAACCUUACCGGGGCUUGACAUGAUAGAAGUAGGAACCUGAAAGGGGGACAAACGGUAUCCAGUCCGUAGCUAUUACAGGUGUUGCAUGGCUGUCGUCAGCUCGUGUCGUGAGACGUUGGGUUAAGUCCCCUAACGAGCGAAACCCUUGUUCUUAGUUACCAUCGGGUUAUGCCGGGUACUCUAGAAAGACUGCCGUCGUCAAGACGGAGGAAGGUGGGGAUGACGUCAAGUCAUCAUGGCCCUUAUGCCCCGGGCUGCACACGUGCUACAAUGGUCGGCACAGACGGAAGCGAAG
rnacentral:rRNA from 1 species